rnacentral:ncRNA from 1 species
ACCAGCCCGGGCGGAACCGGGCCCGGACGAGGGAGCCGUACCCGGAGUCGCGACAAGACGGCCAGG